UCCUGGUUAACCCAGGCAGUCUCAUUAGAGUUCCCACCUUAAAUGUUGGCAACUAAUGAUAAGGGUUGCGCUCGUUGCGGGACUUAACCCAACACCUCACGGCACGAGCUGACGACAGCCAUGCAGCACCUGUGCACCGGCUCCGAAGAGAAAUACCGUUUCUGGUAUCGUCCAAUGCAUGUCAAGUCUGGGUAAGGUUCUUCGCGUUGCAUCGAAUUAAACCACAUGCUCCACUGCUUGUGCGGGUCCCCGUCAAUUCUUUUGAGUUUCACCCUUGCGAGCGUACUCCCCAGGCGGUAUACUUAUCGCGUUAGCUACGGCACAACUAGGGUUGAAUCCAGUUACACCAAGUAUACAUCGUUUACAGUAAGGACUAC
rnacentral:misc_RNA from 1 species